rnacentral:rRNA from 1 species
CCUACGGGGGGCAGCAGUGAGGAAUAUUGGUCAAUGAGCGAGAGCCUGAACCAGCCAAGUCGCGUGAGGGAGUACUGCCCUAUGGGUUGUAAACCUCUUUUGUCGGGGAGCAAAAGCCGGACGUGUCCGGCUGUGAGAGUACCCGAAGAAAAAGCAUCGGCUAACUCCGUGCCAGCAGCCGCGGUAAUACGGAGGAUGCGAGCGUUAUCCGGAUUUAUUGGGUUUAAAGGGUGCGCAGGCGGAUUUUUAAGUCAGCGGGCAAAUCGUUGGGUUCAACCGUAAAAUUGCAGUUGAAACUGGCAGUCUUGAUUACAGUAGAGGUGGGCGGAAUUCGUGGUGUAGCGGUGAAAUGCUUAGAUAUCACGAAGAACUCCGAUUGCGAAGACAGCUCACUGGACUGCAACUGACACUGAUGCUCGAAAGUGUGGGUAUCAAACAGGAUUAGAUACCCGGGUAGUC